UAUUUUUACCUAAUUAAUUUGAUAUUUACAGGUACCCGCCUUUUCUAAAUUGAUUUUAUAGUCGUUUCAAGAAAUAUUGGAGAGUCAAUCGAGGAAAAUGGUUAAACUUGGAAAGAAAUUUUGCAUUAAAAUUUUGAAAGAUGUCUUCUCAUAUCUUUGGUACCUGCCUUUUUUUUCUAAAUUGAUUUCAUAAUCGUUUCAAGAAAUAUUGAAGAGUCAAUCGAGGAAAAUGGUUAAACUUGGAAAGAAAUUUUGCAUUAAAAUUUUGAAAGAUGUCUUCUCAUAUCUUUGGUCGAAAAUAGGUUUGAAUUUCUUCGAACAUUUUCUUGUAUCAAGUGUGAAAAGCUGCCAAGUUUUAAACGUCGAAUAGUUCCAGAGGAUAAUCGAGAAGCAUCGCUUACCUCGGGUACCGGAUACGGGAUCGGAAUUGGUUUGUGAAUGAUCUUCUCGACCGGCACCGGGAUCACCUUCUCCACCGGCACGUGAUACGGUUUUUCGAUGAUGACCGGCUCGGGAACCGGAACUGGCUUUUCCAGGACCACGUGCUUCGUGAUAUACACCGGAAUCGCUUUCAAAGAAAUCGCCGGAGCUCUACCAUACGGUAUGCCACCGUACAAUCUAUAUGAAAAGAAAUAUGCGUCGUUGAAUUAUCCUUCCGAAGUAAUCCUAAGUGAAUUAUUAUUUCAUUCAUGUAUAUCGGACUGUUUGUUUUCAGAGAAAAGUCGUUAAGAUUUUUGUGCUAUUACCCUCCGUGGGCUAAAUCGAAAGAGGGGAACCUCAGCCCUUUCCAACCGUGAUCGCCUGCCCACGGAAGCCCGUGACCGUAUCCGUGAUGAUUUGGUAUACCAACCCAUCCGCCGGCAUCGAGGAUACCUCGUUUAUUUUGUUUAGAUUCGCUUGUUGUUUCCGUCGAGAACACGGAGCCGCAAAAGAGUAUCAGAAACAGCUAAAAUUAAAUUCAUCCCAAGCCUCGUUAUCAGGAAUUUCUGUAAUUUCUCUCGCUCUGCCGAUGCAACUUGUUAAACAACGCGACACGUGUUCACACUUUAGGCAAUUCUAUUCGUCGAGUACGCAGUCGACUUGAUAAAUAUUUUUGAGAACUCGGUGUGCAAUUGAGACAAUAUGUAUAUAGUAAUGUCUCCCUAACUGACGCUCAGGUUGUGCACAAAA